AACCCUCGCCUCUAGUUGCCAGCAUUCGGUUGGGCACUCUAGAGGGACUGCCGGCGACAAGUCGGAGGAAGUGGGAUGACGUCAAAUCAUCAUGCCCUUAUGACCUGGGCUACACACGUGCUACAAUGGGCGGUACAAAGGGCUGCGAACCCGCGAGGGGGAGCGAAUCCCAAAAAGCCGCUCUCAGUUCGGAUUGCAGGCUGCAACUCGCCUGCAUGAAGCCGGAAUCGCUAGUAAUCGCGGAUCAGCAUGCUGCGGUGAAUACGUUCCCGGGCCUU
rnacentral:rRNA from 1 species